GAUGAAGAACGCAGCGAAAUGCGAUAAGUAAUGCGAAUUGCAGAAUUCAGUGAGUCAUCGAAUCUUUGAACGCACAUUGCGCCCUGUGGUAUUCCGCAGGGCAUGCCUGUUCGAGCGUCAUUUCAACCCUCAAGCCCCGCUUGGUGUUGGGCCCCGCCCGCUGUGGCCGGCCCUAAAGACAGUGGCGGCGCCGCCUGGCCCUCAGCGUAGUACAUCUCUCGCUCCAGGGUCCGGUGGCCGCCUGCCAGAACCCCCCAACUCUGUGGUUGACCUCGGAUCAGGUAGGGAUACCCGCUGAACUUAAGCAUAUCAAAAAGCGGAGGA
rnacentral:misc_RNA from 1 species